AACGAACGCUGGCGGCAGGCUUAACACAUGCAAGUCGAGCGCCCCGCAAGGGGAGCGGCAGACGGGUGAGUAACGCGUGGGAAUCUACCCAUCUCUACGGAAUAACGCAUGGAAACGUGUGCUAAUACCGUAUACGUCCUUCGGGAGAAAGAUUUAUCGGAGAUGGAUGAACCCGCGUUGGAUUAGCUAGUUGGUGGGGGUAAAGGCCUACCAAGGCGACGAUCCAUAGCUGGUCUGAGAGGAUGAUCAGCCACACUGGGACUGAGACACGGCCCAGACUCCUACGGGAGGCAGCAGUGGGGAAUAUUGGACAAUGGGCGCAAGCCUGAUCCAGCCAUGCCGCGUGAGUGAUGAAGGCCCUAGGGUUGUAAAGCUCUUUCACCGGUGAAGAUAAUGACGGUAACCGGAGAAGAAGCCCCGGCUAACUUCGUGCCAGCCGCCGCUGUAAAAC
rnacentral:rRNA from 1 species